rnacentral:rRNA from 1 species
UACGGAGGGUGCAAGCGUUAUCCGGAUUCACUGGGUUUAAAGGGUGCGUAGGAGGGCAGGGAAGUCAGUGGUGAAAUCUCCGAGCUUAACUCGGAAACUGCCGUUAAUACUCUCUGUCUUGAAUACCGUGGAGGUGAGCGGAAUAUGUCAUGUAGCGGUGAAAUGCUUAGAUAUGACAUAGAACACCAAUUGCGAAGGCAGCUCGCUACACGAAUAUUGACUCUGAGGCACGAAAGCGUGGGGAUCAAACAGG